rnacentral:rRNA from 1 species
GCGCGAUUGGAGCGGCCGAUGUCAGAUUAGGUAGUUGGUGGGGUAAAGGCUCACCAAGCCAACGAUCUGUAGCUGGUCUGAGAGGACGACCAGCCACACUGGGACUGAGACACGGCCCAG